rnacentral:rRNA from 1 species
UACGGGGGGGGCAAGCGUUGUUCGGAAUUACUGGGCGUAAAGGGCUCGUAGGCGGCCAACUAAGUCAGACGUGAAAUCCCCAGGCUCAACCUGGGAACUGCGUCUGAUACUGGAAGGCUGGAGUUCGGGAGAGGAAUGUGGAAUUCCAGGUGUAGCGGUGAAAUGCGUAGAUAUCUGGAGGAACACCGGUGGCGAAGGCGGCUUACUGGGGCCUUUCUGACGCUGAGGAACGAAAGCUAGGGGAGCGAACGGG